rnacentral:tRNA from 13 species
UAAGACCACGAGAUUCGAACUCGACCCCUGGUUUACGAGACCAGUCUCUAACCUCUGAGCUAUGGUGGC